CCUACGGGUGGCAGCAGUGAGGAAUAUUGGUCAAUGGCCGAGAGGCUGAACCAGCCAAGUCGCGUGAGGGAUGACGGCCCUACGGGUUGUAAACCUCUUUUGUCGGGGAGCAAAGAGAGUCACGUGUGGCUCAUUGAGAGUACCCGAAGAAAAAGCAUCGGCUAACUCCGUGCCAGCAGCCGCGGUAAUACGGAGGAUGCGAGCGUUAUCCGGAUUUAUUGGGUUAAAAGGGUGCGCAGGCGGAGGUGCAAGUCAGUGGUCAAAGUGCGGGGCUCAACCCCGUACUGCCGUUGAAACUGCAUCGCUUGAGUGCGCGAGAAGUAAGUGGAAUGCGUGGUGUAGCGGUGAAAUGCAUAGAUAUCACGAAGAACUCCGAUUGCGAAGGCAGCAUACCGGCGCGCAACUGACGCUGAUGCACGAAAGCGUGGGUAUCGAACAGGAUUAGAUACCCUUGUAGUC
rnacentral:rRNA from 1 species